rnacentral:misc_RNA from 1 species
AAAAAGUUCUCGAGAAGGAAGUAGAUCAUCUGUCCUGGCCGACAUUGUAGAAAGGCUACAGAUGUUCUUGUUGUUCUUUUUUGGUUUGUUUAUGUUGGCAUUUGAGUUUAUGCGAAGAGGUGUAAGUCGUUUAAAACCAGUCAGAGUAAAUGCAGCCCUUACAUGAACCUAUGAUAGCAAAUUCAGUCCACUGGUCACUUAACCGGUGGAACUAACUGUACAGCAUUUUCACAUACACGAAUCACAUUACAGAAGGAGGAAGGGGAAAGGAGGAACAGAUGAAAAGGCAAAGCUAAACUGUGCUGAUAAAAAGAACAGAACAAGACAUUUUAGCCCGCCCUUGCCACUUUUUAUUUUGUA